GGAAGGGUGGCUCAGUGGUAGAGCAGGUACCGGACGCAGGAGCGCCCUGCGCUCGCUAACGGCUUCGCGUGGUUCGAUUCCCGCCCCUUCCA
rnacentral:tRNA from 2 species